rnacentral:lncRNA from 1 species
CAUGAUUUAGAAAAGAACGGUACCUUUGGCUUGAUCGGAGUUCACGGAAAAUAGGUGCGGGUACUUGGAUCGCAUAUCCGCCUUAGCUUCCCAAGUUGCACCCUCAACAGAUUGGUUUCGCCACAACACCUUGACCAAGGGAACUUCUUUGUUCCUUAGUCUUCGGACACUGAAAUCAAGAAUCUCAAUAGGAAUCUCAUCAAAAGAAAUAUUCUCUUGAAUGUCAGCACUCACAAAGGAAUCCACUACCACAACAUCGCUAAUAUGCUUUCUAAGCAUGGAGACAUGGAAUAUUGGAUGAACAGAGGACAACUCGGAAGGCAACUCGACCUCAUAAGCUACCUUACC